rnacentral:rRNA from 1 species
GGAAGAUGUAACGGGGCUAAACCAUGCACCGAAGCUGCGGCAGCGAACGUAUCACCCAAGACAACUUUACGGAGUUGACGAUUGACGGAGCGAAGCGACGUCAAAGCGUUCAUUAAAGUCGAGUUGGCUUAGGGAUACGUUCGUUGGGUAGGGGAGCGUUCUGUAAGCCUGUGAAGGUGUGUCGUGAGGCAUGCUGGAGGUAUCAGAAGUGCGAAUGCUGACAUAAGUAACGAUAAAGCGGGUGAAAAGCCCGCUCGCCGGAAGACCAAGGGUUCCUGUCCAACGUUAAUCGGGGCAGGGUGAGUCGACCCCUAAGGCGAGGCCGAAAGGCGUAGUCGAUGGGAAACGGGUUAAUAUUCCCGUACUUGGUGUUACUGCGAAGGGGGGACGGAGAAGGCUAUGUUGGCCGGGCGACGGUUGUCCCGGUUUAAGCGUGUAGGUGUGUGUUCCAGGUAAAUCCGGUUCACUUUAACACUGAGGCGUGACGACGAGGCACUACGGUGCUGAAGCAACAAAUGCCCUGCUUCCAGGAAAAGCCUCUAAGCAUCAGGUAACAUCAAAUCGUACCCCAAACCGACACAGGUGGUCAGGUAGAGAAUACCAAGGCGCUUGAGAGAACUCGGGUGAAGGAACUAGGCAAAAUGGUGCCGUAACUUCGGGAGAAGGCACGCUGACACGUAGGUGAAGUGAUUUACUCAUGGAGCUGAAGUCAGUCGAAGAUACCAGCUGGCUGCAACUGUUUAUUAAAAACACAGCACUGUGCAAACACGAAAGUGGACGUAUACGGUGUGACGCCUGCCCGGUGCCGGAAGGUUAAUUGAUGGGGUCAGCGCAAGCGAAGCUCCUGAUCGAAGCCCCGGUAAACGGCGGCCGUAACUAUAACGGUCCUAAGGUAGCGAAAUUCCUUGUCGGGUAAGUUCCGACCUGCACGAAUGGCGUAAUGAUGGCCAGGCUGUCUCCACCCGAGACUCAGUGAAAUUGAACUCGCUGUGAAGAUGCAG